rnacentral:rRNA from 1 species
CAAGUCGAGGGGCAGCACAGAUAGCAAUAUUUGGUGGCGACCGGCAAACGGGUGCGGAACACGUACGCAACCUUCCCAGAACAGGUGAAUAGCCCUCCGAAAGGAGGAUUAAUACACCGUAAUAUAUAGAGGUGGCAUCAUUUUUAUAUUAAAGGUCGCGAGACCGGUUUUGGAUGGGCGUGCGCCUGAUUAGGUAGUUGGUGGGGUAAAGGCCCACCAAGCCUUCGAUCAGUAACUGGUGUGAGAGCACGACCAGUCACACGGGCACUGAGACACGGGCCCGACUCCUACGGGAGGCAGCAGUAAGGAAUAUUGGUCAAUGGACGGAAGUCUGAACCAGCCAUGCCGCGUGAAGGAUGAAGGCCCUCUGGGUUGUAAACUUCUUUUAUCUGGGACGAAAAAAGGGAAAUCUUUCUCACUUGACGGUACCAGAGGAAUAAGCACCGGCUAACUCCGUGCCAGCAGCCGCGGUAAUACGGAGGGUGCAAGCGUUAUCCGGAUUUACUGGGUUUAAAGGGUGCGUAGGUGGAUAAUUAAGUCAGUGGUGAAAUCUUCAGGCUUAACCUGGAAACUGCCAUUGAUACUAUUUGUCUUGAAUACUUUGGAGGUAAGCGGAAUAUGUCAUGUAGCGGUGAAAUGCUUAGAUAUGACAUAGAACACCAAUUGCGAAGGCAGCUUACUACACAGUAAUUGACACUGAGGCACGAAAGCGUGGGGAUCAAACAGGAUUAGAUACCCUGGUAGUCCACGCCCUAAACAAUGGAUACUC